rnacentral:misc_RNA from 1 species
CAAAAUCAUUGGGGGUGUGAUCGGUCAUGGCUUACACCCCCGCUGGAAGCGCCGGUAAGGCGUCUGACAGCGCAACCCUUUGUGAAACCCCCCUGUUGCUUCGGCAGCCCCUCUCAGGAGCGGUAAGCCUGCCGGCAGCAUUAAGGAAACUCACUCUGAAAACCUGCAACUCAGUCUGAACAACACAGUCAAAUGACUAUA